UGAAUGUAAAAGAUGCAGAAAAAGAAUGACCUGAAUGGCCAGUUUUAGUUUCGGCACUAGAGAAAAAGGAAGAAAAAAAUACAAAACCCCAAAUGAUAGAGAGAAAAUUCGACAGCUAUACACUUACUAGUUGCCGAAAUGCAUACUCCAAAGUCCCCCUUAGCAGAUCCGGCAAGAAACUUCUACAACUCAAACUCCC
rnacentral:lncRNA from 1 species